GGGUUGUGAGGUUAAGCGACUAAGCGUACACGGUGGAUGCCCUGGCAGUCAGAGGCGAUGAAGGACGUGCUAAUCUGCGAUAAGCGCCGGUAAGGUGAUAUGAACCGUUAUAACCGGCGAUUUCCGAAUGGGGAAACCCAGUGUGAUUCGUCACACUAUCAUUAACUGAAUCCAUAGGUUAAUGAGGCGAACCGGGGGAACUGAAACAUCUAAGUACCCCGAGGAAAAGAAAUCAACCGAGAUUCCCCCAGUAGCGGCGAGCGAACGGGGAGGAGCCCAGAGCCUGAAUCAGCAUGUGUGUUAGUGGAAGCGUCUGGAAAGGCGCGCGAUACAGGGUGACAGCCCCGUACACAAAAGCGCAUGUGCUGUGAGCUCGAUGAGUAGGGCGGGACACGUGGUAUCCUGUCUGAAUAUGGGGGGACCAUCCUCCAAGGCUAAAUACUCCUGACUGACCGAUAGUGAACCAGUACCGUGAGGGAAAGGCGAAAAGAACCCCGGCGAGGGGAGUGAAAAAGAACCUGAAACCGUGUACGUACAAGCAGUGGGAGCACCCUUUGGGGUGUGACUGCGUACCUUUUGUAUAAUGGGUCAGCGACUUAUAUUCUGUAGCAAGGUUAACCG
rnacentral:rRNA from 4 species